GAUGAACGCUAGCUACAGGCUUAACACAUGCAAGUCAGGGGCAGCAUGAAUUUACUUCGGUAAAUUUGAUGGCGACCGGCGCACGGGUGCGUAACGCGUAUCCAACCUUCCCGUUACUCAGGGAUAGCCUUCCGAAAGGGAGAUUAAUACCUGAUGGUGUUCAAAUUCCGCAUGUUAUUUGAACUAAAGAUUUAUCGGUAACGGAUGGGGAUGCGUGACAUUAGAUAGUAGGCGGGGUAACGGCCCACCUAGUCUACGAUGUCUAGGGGUUCUGAGAGGAAGGUCCCCCACACUGGAACUGAGACACGGUCCAGACUCCUACGGGAGGCAGCAGUGAGGAAUAUUGGUCAAUGGUCGGAAGACUGAACCAGCCAAGUAGCGUGAAGGAUGAAGGUUCUAUGGAUUGUAAACUUCUUUUAUACGGGAAUAAAACCUCCCACGUGUGGGAGCUUGUAUGUACCGUAUGAAUAAGCAUCGGCUAACUCCGUG
rnacentral:rRNA from 1 species